GUCAUGUAGGAACGUUUACUACUACAUCAACUACUACAACGAAGCUACAUCGUAAAAUGGAAAUCCAAGCCUUAGACAAAUCAGAAUCUGAUAAUAAUGAUGAUAACUCUGCUGGCUACGUGUCAAUUAAUCUUCCAUUAUUAUUUAUACAAUUAGCAAUUUUCAUUUCAUCAAUAAUUCAAUAGUUUUGCUACAAAAGUGAUACUACCGAUGACACCAAAAUAUAAUGAGAAUUAUACCAAUAUUUUGAACAAGAUGACAAGUGCGGCUAUGAAGAAAAUCGUUUCGAUUCUACAUCGAACAUUUUAUUGUAUUAUAAAUACAUCCACAUAU